rnacentral:tRNA from 1 species
GGUGCCGUAGCCUAGUGGUUAAGGCGAUAUACUAGAAAUCUAUUGGGAUAUUCCCGCGCAGGUUCGAAAACUGCCGACGACG